CGCCCUUGAGUUUGAUCAUGGCUCAGGACGAACGCUUGCGGCGUGCCUAAGAAAUGCAGGUCGAGCGGGGGGAGGACUUCGGUUUUCCCCUAGCGCCGAACGGUCGCGUAACACGUAAGCAACCUGCCCCGAAGACCGGGACAACAGUCCGAAAGGACUGCUAAUACCGGAUGUGACCACCGAGAGGUUCUCUUGGUGAUUAAAACAGGAAACUGGCUUCGGGAGGGGCUUGCGGCCUAUCAGCUAGAUGGUGAGGUAACGGCUCACCAUGGCGACGACGGGUAGCUGGUCUGAGAGGAUGGUCAGCCGGACUGGGACUGAGAUACGGCCCAGACUCCUACGGGGGGCAGCAAUUAGGAAUCUUGUACAAUGGGCGCAAGCCUGAUACAGCGAUUUUGUGUGGAGGAGGACGGCCUUCGGGUUGUAAACUCCUUUUGGGAAGGAAGAAACAAAUGACGGUACUUCCCGAAUAAGCCCCGGCUAACUCCGUGCCAGCAGCCGCGGUAC
rnacentral:rRNA from 1 species